rnacentral:rRNA from 1 species
UACGUAGGGUGCGAGCGUUGCCCGGAUUUAUUGGGCGUAAAGGGCGCGUAGGCGGCCACGCACGUCCGUUGUGAAAUCGCCCGGCUCAACUGGGCGGGGUCAGCGGAUACGGUGUGGCUAGAGCAAGCUAGGGGGCAAUGGAAUUCCCGGUGUAGUGGUGGAAUGCGCAGAUAUCAGGAGGAACACCGGUGGCGAAGGCGGGUCUCUGGGCAGUAACUGACGCUGAGGAGCGAAAGCGUGGGGAGCGAACAGG